GCCUGGGUGGCUCAGUCGGUUGAGCGUCCGACUUCGGCUCAGGUCGGGAUCUCGUGGUUUGUGGGUUCGAGCCCCGCGUCGGGCU
rfam:Felis catus isolate Cinnamon breed Abyssinian chromosome C2, whole genome shotgun sequence.